ensembl:lncRNA
AGACGGAGAGGGGUGAACACGGCUCCAGCUGGCUCUGGCCUCACCAGCAGCCAAGGUCCGGGUCGGGUCCCCUGUCUCCUCACCCCAGACCUCCUACAGGAGUGAAGAGUCCAGAUAAGUUGCCCCUCAGUCCUUGCUGAAACAGCAACAGUUUUAAUAUUUAUGAGCUGAUUCAUGGGACCUGCAACAGAGCUGGAGAAACAACGGGUCAGAGGAGCAUGGAAACUGCAGCCUCUGCAGUUGCUUUGAAAUGGCAUGUGGCUCUUCCCGGCAUCUUUCUGAGAGGCAAACCCAGGCUGGAACAGCCUCCCAGAGCUGUGUAAACGGCGCGGCGUCACACGCGGGUGUCGGUGGGUGAGGCCCCACGCGGGGUCCUGACUCAGAGGCCUUUGUGGUUGGCUGGCAUGCUCUCUGGGCCACAGCUCUCUGGCACUCCCACACGUCCGGUGGGGUCUGUCCUGAGGGCAGGUGGGCUGCAGGUGGCACCCUCGGUGUUGCUCUGCUGGGCCACAAGCUUGAUGAGCAGAGCGAAGAGGAUUCUGGUGCUCCUGGCAGAGCGUCUGUGGUCCUGAGGCAGACGUAAGGGUUGUGUUCCCAGGACCAGCGAUUCCACAGGUUAGGUAUUCACUGACCUGGGGUCUCUGUUAUUAGCUGGGUUCUGUCCUCUUAGACUCUGGGCUACCAAAUACCAAGAAUUUCUACUUGAUUCUCUCAUCCAUUUUUUUUUUUUGGCCCCGCCCUAUGCAUGCAGAAGUUCUCAGGCCAGGGUUCAAACCCGCACCACAGCAGGGACCUGAGGCACAGCAGUGACAAUGCUGGAUCCUUCACCUCCUGAGCCACCAGGGACCUCUGAUCCUUCACUUUUUUGUCACCUCCUAAAAGUGGGACUUGAGUCAUUAGGCUGAUCCUUUGGUUUGAUGAUGCAAACGCCGCUCCUGACCCCGUGGCCCUGGCACUCAGCUGGUUCAGGGCGAGGGCUGUGGACACGCUAACUGGCAAAGGGCGGGGGCUGCUCUCCAGAGUGUUUUGCAGUAGCUGGCGUGGCCUGUUUAUCACGGUUCUGGUGUGUUCAGUGCAGGGGCUUGGAUGUCUGAGAUAAAGAACAAGACGCUGCUCGCGUGGCCUCAGCCUGAGCUCCAGGCCCCAGGCUUCCAGGCGGUGGUCUGUGAGUUGUCUUGCGUGGGUAAGAACCAGCAGCCAAAUCUCUGACUUUGAGUUAAAACCUCCAGGCUCCUUUGGAAGCAGGAGAAAAAGCAUUGAGGUGCCCUUUGCUGCUGCUGAUCAAUUCAAAGCGAAAUGGGAAACUCUCCAAUUAAUUCAAGUGACAA